rnacentral:rRNA from 1 species
AGAGUUUGAUCAUGGCUCAGGAUGAACGCUGGCGGCGUGCUUAACACAUGCAAGUCGAACGAACCUUCGGGUUAGUGGCGGACGGGUGAGUAACGCGUGAGAAUCUGCCCUCAGGAGGGGGAUAACGGUUGGAAACGACCGCUAAUACCCCAUAUGCCGCGAGGUGAAAUGAAUUUCGCCUGAGGAUGAGCUCGCGUCUGAUUAGCUAGUUGGUGGGGUAAAGGCCUACCAAGGCAUCGAUCAGUAGCUGGUCUGAGAGGAUGAUCAGCCACACUGGGACUGAGACACGGCCCAGACUCCUACGGGAGGCAGCAGUGGGGAAUUUUCCGCAAUGGGCGAAAGCCUGACGGAGCAACGCCGCGUGAGGGAUGAAGGCCUCUGGGCUGUAAACCUCUUUUAUCAAGGAAGAAGAUCUGACCGUACUUGAUGAAUAAGCCACGGCUAAUUCCGUGCCAGCCGCCGCGGU